rnacentral:rRNA from 1 species
UGAGUAACCUGCCCUUAACUCUGGGAUAAGCCUGGGAAACUGGGUCUAAUACCGGAUACAACGGACCACCGCAUGGCGGUCCGUGGAAAGCUUUAUGCGGUUUUGGAUGGACUCGCGGCCUAUCAGCUUGUUGGUUGGGUAAUGGCCUACCAAGGCGUCGACGGGUAGCCGGCCUGAGAGGGCGACCGGCAACACUGGGACUGAGACACGGCCCAGACUCCUACGGGAGCAG